CGGAGGAAAAGAAACCAACCGGGAUUGCCUUAGUAACGGCGAGUGAAGCGGCAAAAGCUCAAAUUUGAAAUCUGGUACCUUCGGUGCCCGAGUUGUAAUUUGGAGAGGGCAACUUUGGGGCCGUUCCUUGUCUAUGUUCCUUGGAACAGGACGUCAUAGAGGGUGAGAAUCCCGUGUGGCGAGGAGUGCGGUUCUUUGUAAAGUGCCUUCGAAGAGUCGAGUUGUUUGGGAAUGCAGCUCUAAGUGGGUGGUAAAUUCCAUCUAAAGCUAAAUAUUGGCGAGAGACCGAUAGCGAACAAGUACAGUGAUGGAAAGAUGAAAAGAACUUUGAAAAGAGAGUGAAAAAGUACGUGAAAUUGUUGAAAGGGAAGGGCAUUUGAUCAGACAUGGUGUUUUGUGCCCUCUGCUCCUUGUGGGUAGGGGAAUCUCGCAUUUCACUGGGCCAGCAUCAGUUUUGGUGGCAGGAUAAAUCCAUAGGAAUGUAGCUUGCCUCGGUAAGUAUUAUAGCCUGUGGGAAUACUGCCAGCUGGGACUGAGGACUGCGACGUAAGUCAAGGAUGCUGGCAUAAUGGUUAUAU
rnacentral:rRNA from 1 species